CACCUCAGGUGCACCCACCUCACCUAACCCUCCCUCUUCAGGGCUUGCACCGGGACGGCCGCACAAGGGCGGGCGAUGGCGGGCCGCGGGCAGCGCUCCCUCCGCCCCGCCAUGGCGGCCGGCUGCUCGCCGCUGAGAGGCAGGGGUCUGCGCCCGUGUACCACCAGGUCUCCUUGGGGUCACUGUGAAUGAAGCUUGGCUGAUGGAAGUAGUGGCAGAUUCCCAAAGCGUUUUGAGAAGAUUUUGUUGAAGACUGUAAUGAUCUUUGCAGCAUAUUGUUCUGGGAUCAGCACCCUUGGGGAUACAUCAGUACGGUGAUUGAUGGAAAGAAGCUGGAGAGGGAAACCAAAGCAAACUCAGCCAAGGCAAGAUAAG